GAAGGAGGGUGCAAGCGUUGUUCGGAAUUACUGGGCGUAAAGAGCGUGGAGGCGGUCUGAUAAGUCGAGUGUGAAAGCCCGAGGAUCAACUUCGGAAGUGCAGUCGAAACUGCCAGGCUUGAGCACGGGAGAGGGAAGUGGAAUUCCUGGUGUAGAGGUGAAAUUCGUAGAUAUCAGGAGGAACACCGGUGGCGAAGGCGGCUUCCUGGACCGAUACUGACGCUGAGACGCGAAAGCGUGGUGAGCAAACAGG
rnacentral:rRNA from 1 species